rnacentral:rRNA from 1 species
CAUAGGUUAAUGAGGCGAACCGGGGGAACUGAAACAUCUAAGUACCCCGAGGAAAAGAAAUCAACCGAGAUUCCCCCAGUAGCGGCGAGCGAACGGGGAGCAGCCCAGAGCCUGAAUCAGUGUGUGUGUUAGUGGAAGCGUCUGGAAAGGCGCGCGAUACAGGGUGACAGCCCCGUACACAAAAAUGCACAUGCUGUGAGCUCGAUGAGUAGGGCGGGACACGUGGUAUCCUGUCUGAAUAUGGGGGGACCAUCCUCCAAGGCUAAAUACUCCUGACUGACCGAUAGUGAACCAGUACCGUGAGGGAAAGGCGAAAAGAACCCCGGCGAGGGGAGUGAAAAAGAACCUGAAACCGUGUACGUACAAGCAGUGGGAGCACGCUUAGGCGUGUGACUGCGUACCUUUUGUAUAAUGGGUCAGCGACUUAUAUUCUGUAGCAAGGUUAACCGAAUAGGGGAGCCGAAGGGAAACCGAGUCUUAACUGGGCGUUAAGUUGCAGGGUAUAGACCCGAAACCCGGUGAUCUAGCCAUGGGCAGGUUGAAGGUUGGGUAACACUAACUGGAGGACCGAACCGACUAAUGUUGAAAAAUUAGCGGAUGACUUGUGGCUGGGGGUGAAAGGCCAAUCAAACCGGGAGAUAGCUGGUUCUCCCCGAAAGCUAUUUAGGUAGCGCCUCGUGAAUUCAUCUCCGGGGGUAGAGCACUGUUUCGGCAAGGGGGUCAUCCCGACUUACCAACCCGAUGCAAACUGCGAAUACCGGAGAAUGUUAUCACGGGAGACACACGGCGGGUGCUAACGUCCGUCGUGAAGAGGGAAACAACCCAGACCGCCAGCUAAGGUCCCAAAGUCAUGGUUAAGUGGGAAACGAUGUGGGAAGGCCCAGACAGCCAGGAUGUUGGCUUAGAAGCAGCCAUCAUUUAAAGAAAGCGUAAUAGCUCACUGGUCGAGUCGGCCUGCGCGGAAGAUGUAACGGGGCUAAACCAUGCACCGAAGCUGCGGCAGCGACACUAUGUGUUGUUGGGUAGGGGAGCGUUCUGUAAGCCUGUGAAGGUGUGCUGUGAGGCAUGCUGGAGGUAUCAGAAGUGCGAAUGCUGACAUAAGUAACGAUAAAGCGGGUGAAAAGCCCGCUCGCCGGAAGACCAAGGGUUCCUGUCCAACGUUAAUCGGGGCAGGGUGAGUCGACCCCUAAGGCGAGGCCGAAAGGCGUAGUCGAUGGGAAACAGGUUAAUAUUCCUGUACUUGGUGUUACUGCGAAGGGGGGACGGAGAAGGCUAUGUUGGCCGGGCGACGGUUGUCCCGGUUUAAGCGUGUAGGCUGGUUUUCCAGGCAAAUCCGGAAAAUCAAGGCUGAGGCGUGAUGACGAGGCACUACGGUGCUGAAGCAACAAAUGCCCUGCUUCCAGGAAAAGCCUCUAAGCAUCAGGUAACAUCAAAUCGUACCCCAAACCGACACAGGUGGUCAGGUAGAGAAUACCAAGGCGCUUGAGAGAACUCGGGUGAAGGAACUAGGCAAAAUGGUGCCGUAACUUCGGGAGAAGGCACGCUGAUAUGUAGGUGAAGUCCCUCGCGGAUGGAGCUGAAAUCAGUCGAAGAUACCAGCUGGCUGCAACUGUUUAUUAAAAACACAGCACUGUGCAAACACGAAAGUGGACGUAUACGGUGUGACGCCUGCCCGGUGC